UACGUAGGCAGCAAACGUUGUUCGGAGUUACUGGGCGUAAAGAGUAUGUAGGUGGUUUGCUAAGUUUGGUGUGAAAUCUCCUGGCUUAACUGGGAGGGUGCGCCGAAUACUGGCGAGCUUGAGUGUGGGAGAGGGAAGCAGAAUUCCUGGUGUAGCGGUGAAAUGCGUAGAUAUCAGGAGGAAUACCUGUGGUGUAGACGGCUUCCUGGACCAUUACUGACACUGAGAUACGAAAGCGUGGGUAGCAAACAGG
rnacentral:rRNA from 1 species